rnacentral:tRNA from 1 species
GGGGUUGUAGCUCAGUGGUAGAGUGCUUGCCUUGCAUGCAUGAGGCCCUGGGUUCGAUCUCCAGCAUCACAUCA